rnacentral:rRNA from 1 species
CGGACGGGUGAGUAAUGUAUGGGGAUCUGCCUGAUGGCGGGGGGUAACUACUGGAAACGGUAGCUAAUACCGCAUAAUGUCUACGGACCAAAGCGGGGGACCUCCGGGCCUCGCGCCAUCAGAUGAACCCAUAUGGGAUUAGCUAGUAGGUAAGGUAACGGCUUACCUAGGCGACGAUCCCUAGCUGGUCUGAGAGGAUGAUCAGCCACACUGGGACUGAGACACGGCCCAG